rnacentral:rRNA from 1 species
UUAUGGCUCAGGAUGAACGCUAGCGGCAGGCCUAAUACAUGCAAGUCGUACGGGAAGUCCCCCUCGGGGGGAUGAGAGUGGCGGACGGGUGCGCAACGCGUAUGCAACCGCCCCCGGGAGGCGGAUAGCCGGUGGAAACGCCGGGUAAUCCGCCGCGGUCCCGGCUGGGGGGCAUCCCCGGCUGGGUAUAGCGGAGACACGACCGGGGAGGGGCAUGCGUCCCAUUAGGUAGUCGGCGGGGUGACGGCCCACCGAGCCCACGAUGGGUAGGGGAUCUGAGAGGACGGUCCCCCACACUGGUACUGAGACACGGACCAGACUCCUGCGGGAGGCAGCAGUAAGGGAUAUUGGGCAAUGGGGGCAACCCUGACCCAGCCAUGCCCGCGUGAGGUAAGAAGGCCCUACGGGUCGUAAGCCUCUUUUGUGCAGGGACAAGGAUCCGGUCGUGAACCGGAUUUGAGGGUACUGCAAGAAUAAGCGUCGGCUAACUCCGUGCCAGCCGCGGC